CUUGAAAUUGCUUAACUGUUAAACUAUUUGUGUUUACAUUAAGAAUGGAGUCAAAUAAAACUUUUUUGGCUAAUACUUGAGUUAAAAUUUGACAUAUUUUUAAAAAUGUGAAAAAUACAAGGCUGUUAUUUGAGAGAUUAUUUCAGUGUACUUUUUCUGUUUGUCAUUUGUGUUUAAAAUUUAUUAUUAUUUGAAAACCUCAUUAGCAUUUAAGAGUUUGUGGCAUAGGCAAGCUCUCAUCUGCAGUGUUGUCCAUCUUUUAGUAGUUGAGGCUCUACAACCUUUAAUACCAUUCACUUAUCUGCUAAGCUUCUGGCAACCUCAGCUUACAUGAACAUCUGCAAAGUUAUGAGUAAGUAAACUUUUAAAACUAUCAGGUUAAAAUAACAUGAAUCCUGCCAUGCGCAGUGGCACACGCCUAUAAUCCCAGCAACUAGGGAGGCUGAGACAGGAAGAUUGCAAAUUUGAGGCCAGCUUCAGCAAUUGAGCAAAGCCCUGUCUUACAGUAAUAAAGGCAGGGGAUGUGCCUCAGUGGUUUAAAUGCCCCUGGUUCAAUCUCUGGUACCAAAAAAAAAAUAAUAGUAAUAAAAUAAAGAAAUAAGUAUACUUGAAUUUCUGAGGUAUAGUUAUGACAAAGCUUUUACUUUACCACUUGAGGAUAGAGAUUUCCUUAUUUUGGCAUAAUGUUUUUUCAUCUGACCCUUGUCAGUCCUUAUGUGUUUUCUAGUUUGUAGUCGAAAACAGAAAGGCAUUAACAAAAGCUUAGGAAAGGCAGUUUAGAAAUGGUUUAGGUAGUACUCUAGAGGUCAGGCCUAUUGAUGACUGAAGAGAAAUACCUGUUGUACAAAUAACAGGACAAAGGCUCAGAGGACUCAGGAAGUUGAAGUGGAGGACAGGCUGAACACUGUGCAUUUCUGUGGCUACUCAAAGCAUCCUUCAGUUAUUUAGGAAAUCUAUCCAUCUCAUUUCCCAGAAACAGGUAAUUGAGUUAUAGUCAUAUUUAGGAUUUAAUAAAAAUAUUUGAAAUGGUACAGUGAAUUACCUAAGCAAUAAUAAUUGUACUAUAAACUCUAAUUUGAGCUUUCUGUCCUGAUUAAAGUGUUUACCCUCGUAGUCUAAUUUAGAGAUUAUAACACAAAUUGAAAGAAUUUUAUCAAAUAUUGUCGUAAUUCCUUACAUAUAAAUUUGUUUUCUGACAAAAACGUUUACAGCAAGAAAUGUGAAAGCCAGAAGUUGAAAAGGAGAAGACUGACAAUAUUGACUAUGUAAAAAACAAAACAACAAAAAAAAAAAUCUGGGCUGGGAAUAUAGCUCAGUUGGUAAGAGUACUUGCCUUGCAUACACAAGGCCCUGGGUUCAAACCCUAGCACCACCAAAAAAAAAAAAAAAAAAAAAGAAACCUAAACAUUUAUGACAAAAGCCAUGAAGUUUUAACAAGUUAAUUUGAGUAGUCUCUUUAUAUUUUCACAUUAAUAUAGAAAGUGUUGCAAAUCAAUUAAAAGAACAGCCGAAUAGGAAAAAAAUGGGCAAAAAUUAUAAAGCAGUAAAGGGACUGGGGCUGGGAUUGUGGCUCAGUAGUAGAGCACUCGCCUAGAAUGGGUGGGACCCGGGUUCGAUCCUCAGCACCACAUUAAAAAUAAAUAUUGUGUUCAUCUACACCUAAAAAAUAAAUAUUAGAAAAGGGACUAAUAAAUAUAUUGAAAUUCGGUUUCCCUAAUAAUUAAUAAUUAAAAUAACAGUGGCAUCAUUUCUCAUCUAUCAGAUUGCAGAAGUUAGUAACGCC
rnacentral:lncRNA from 1 species